AGCGAACGCUGGCGGCAGGCUUAACACAUGCAAGUCGAGCGGGCAUCUUCGGGUGUCAGCGGCGGACGGGUGAGUAACGCGUGGGAACGUGCCCUCUGGUUCGGAAUAACUCAGGGAAACUUGAGCUAAUACCGGAUACGCCCUUUUUGGGGAAAGGCUUGCUGCCGGAGGAUCGGCCCGCGUCUGAUUAGCUAGUUGGUGGGGUAACGGCCUACCAAGGCGACGAUCAGUAGCUGGUCUGAGAGGAUGAUCAGCCACACUGGGACUGAGACACGGCCCAGACUCCUACGGGAGGCAGCAGUGGGGAAUAUUGGACAAUGGGGGCAACCCUGAUCCAGCCAUGCCGCGUGAGUGAUGAAGGCCUUAGGGUUGUAAAGCUCUUUUAUCCGGGACGAUAAUGACGGUACCGGAGGAAUAAGCCCCGGCUAACUUCGUGCCAGCCGCCGCCGUAA
rnacentral:rRNA from 1 species